CUUUAGCCCCGAUUUAAGUGAAAAUCCUGGCUUUGGGAGAUUGCCGUGCAAUCUCACAACGACAGAUUGCAACGGAAAGCGGGAAAAUGG
rnacentral:sRNA from 1 species